CGGUCACAGCAGCCACGCGGGGAACCCCUGCCAGACCGCGCCAGAAGGGCCGGUCCGCACCCUUGCCGCGGGGACCGGGCCCGAACGCUGACCACCUCCUGCAGUCACAGGCCUUCUGCCAUGAGCUCACCUUAGCUACAUUUUCUCAGUGAAUUUUUGUGUAAGUGUGCUUCUUUCCCCCCCGAAAGUCUUACAUUUUAUGGUCUGUCUCUUCAGAUUGCGAAAUGUAAUCCCCCCCCCCCAGUAGAAAAUGAGCACAGGAUAAAACGCAGGAAGAGGAAAAUGCGCUCCCUCCCCUCCUCCGAGCGGCCCCCUUGGGGUGGGAACCUCUCGGGGUGGGGGUGGCUCUGCCCCACACCCUCGGGGAGUGGGGGCCUUCACCUGGCCCUCCUGGGGCCCCUCUGGGGACCCGAACUUCUGGGUUACGGUUAGGGUGGGGUUAGGGUUAGGACUAGGAUAGUGCCAGGAGCUCGGCAGGACCAGGGUUGGGGGGUGAGGUUAGAGUUGGGUUAGGGUUCGGGUCCGGGGUCGGGAUCGGGUUCGGGAUCCGGUUUGGUUAAGGGUCUGGUCCGGGGUCGGGAUCGGGUUAGGGAUCCGGUUUGGUUAAGGGUUCGGGUCCGGGGUCGGGGUCGGGUUAGGGCUAGGAGAGUGUGAGGAGCCGGGCAGCGCUCUCAGGGCCUGGGCCGGGGACACGCGCCCUGGAGGCGGCGUGGAGAGCACCCUCGCCUGGCGUCGUGCAGAGGACACGGUGCGGGGACCCGCGUCCGGACGCAGAGCGGGAACCGGGCAGAGCCGUGGUCGUGCACCCGGACCCUGCUCGGCGUCCAGGCGGGCUCGCGGGCGCAGCCGUGAUCUGCGGGGAAGGGCGUCGAGAGCCGCACGGAGUUCACGUUCAAUGCCGUUUGUUUCUUCAGUUCAAAUCCGAGAAAUACACGCUGCACCCCCGGCCUAGAACUCCCAGCCCGGCCCUCCCCGCCGCCCUCCGGGGAGGAGGCUGGGCCGCGGGGCAGAGCGCUUCCCGCGCGGGGCCGCUGCGCCCCCUGCCGGGCACUGUCGGCUCUGCAGGCCCGAGCGAGCUCCCGAAGGCGGCCGGAGGACCGCGCCACGCGACGGGCUGCCCCCGCUGGGUGGGUCGGUACCGGCUCCGCGCCCUGGUGGCCGCCCAGCAGCGGGGUGAAACGAGGACACUUGCGACCGCACCACAUUCACAGUCCGUGACUUAA
rnacentral:lncRNA from 1 species